CGCGUAGGCGGUUAUUUAAGUGAGAUGUGAAAUCCCUGGGCUUAACCUAGGAACUGCAUCUCAUACUGAAUAGCUAGAGUAUUGUAGAGGGUAGUGGAAUUUCCGGUGUAGCGGUGAAAUGCGUAGAGAUCGGAAGGAACACCAGUGGCGAAGGCGGCUACCUGGACAAAUACUGACGCUGAGGCGCGAAAGCGUGGGGAGCAAACA
rnacentral:rRNA from 1 species